UACGUAGGGUGCGAGCGUUAAUCGGAAUUACUGGGCGUAAAGCGUGCGCAGGCGGUUCGUUAAGUCAGCUGUGAAAGCCCCGGGCUCAACCUGGGAAUUGCGGUUGAAACUGGCGGACUAGAAUCUGGCAGAGGGGGGUGGAAUUCCACGUGUAGCAGUGAAAUGCGUAGAGAUGUGGAGGAACACCGAUGGCGAAGGCAGCCCCCUGGGUCAAGAUUGACGCUCAUGCACGAAAGCGUGGGGAGCAAACAGG
rnacentral:rRNA from 1 species